GGUCCCGUAGCCAAGUGGUUAGGCAACGGAUUGCAAAUCCGUCUACCCCAGUUCGAUUCUGGGCGGGACCUCCA
rnacentral:tRNA from 2 species